AUUCUUUCCGUUUAUUGCCUCACAAUAUACAAAAAGUCCCGCGAAAUCGGUUAUCAACUUUGAGGACCGGAGGAAAAUUGCCGUGACGCACAGAUAAUACUGAAUGACGAGACCCUAGGCUUGAAGUGGCUAUUGGAUUACUCUUCAAGUGCGUAGGCUGUCGACCGAAGAUGGGCCUUCCACUUGGCGGAAGAAUCUCACAGGAAGGAGUGAGACCGAAGCAGAGUCUUUAGGGGGGGAAGGGAAGGGAACGUGCGGUUUCAGGCGUACUCAGUUAGAGGGAGGAGCAACAGUGCUCUGGAGGCUCGUGCGCAGGCGCUUCUCGGAGCAGGAGCUCUAGCUUGGGCUGCUGGGCGAAAUGGCCGCGGGAGGCGGGGCUCACGUGGUGCUGAUCAUGGAACGUCUAAAGUCCGCCAUUUUGAAGGGUAAACGAAGAAAGCCAUGGGUCAUUGGAAAAUGAUGUUCAUUAAAUCUAAAAAAAAGAGGCUAUUCAGUACAAUGUAGAAUUUUUUUAUGUAAAAGGGGGAGGAGAAGAUAUUCUGAGAAUUACAAAGAAAUUGAGAGACAGUGAGAGAGAUAUGAAGACUAUAAUGAAUGAUGCAAGAGAUAUGAAAGAGAAGGUGACUUUGAAGGACAAAGGAGAUAGGUAAUUGUGUGCUCUGGAUCUGAAGUAUCUUGGUUGAAUGAAGAAUUGAAAUGAAAGAAUUGAAGACCUCUUUAUAAAGCCUGGUGCUUGAGACUGCAUCACAUUUAAUCUUUAAGAUAACAACUGAAGAACUCAUGCUCCCAAUUUUACAAACGUGAGAAGUGAGAAUCAGGAAAAAGUUCAGAAACAUAUUUCAGGAUUAUAGAGGCAAAUUAACUCCAGAUUUGCUCUUCUCUUUUGUCUAUGCCCAGGAGGCUGACCCUCCUAUUGGGUGGGAGAUUGGAGGGUGGGAAGAUAAAGGGUCAGAAAAUAUUCAUAGUAAAUCUCUAGCUUGCCAUGCACCAGCCGAGUGGCGUGCGAUUUAACCAACACUGUCACUGAGCUUGAGGGGCCAGCAUGUGAAAGUGAAGCAGAACUGUGAUGGGAGUGAACCAGGGACUGUUUUGUGCUGACGUUUCUCCUGCUCCUGAAAAAAAUGCCUUUAGCAAGCGAGUGGGUGUGAAUCUCAGUCCAUAAAUAAAGAGUGCUGCCUUGAGUCUACCAUGCUCUGAGGAAGCCCAAACUAGCCAUCUGGUGAGACCACAGGGAGAGGAACUGAGAUACACCAACUUCAGCUGAGCCCAGCCCUCAGCUGACCAAUCAGCUCAUCACCUGUGCCAGCCUAUAUCAUGUGGAGUAGAGGAACCACCCACUCAACCUGAGCUUGACAACCAUCAUGACAGAAUUCAUGACAGAAUUGUCAGAAAUAAUAAAUUGUCAUUUUAAACCUUUAA